AUUGAACGCUGGCGGCAUGCUUUACACAUGCGAGUCGCACGGUAACAGGGUGCUUGCACCGCUGACGAGUGGCGAACGGGUGAGUAAUGCGUCGGAACGUGCCGAGUAGUGGGGGAUAACGCAGCGAAAGUUGUGCUACUACCGCAUACGUACUGAGGUAGAAAGUGGGGGACCUUCGGGCCUUACGCUAUUCGAGCGGCCGACGUCUGAUUAGCUAGUAGGUGAGGUAAAGGCUCACCUAGGCGACGAUCAGUAGCGGGUCUGAGAGGAUGAUCCGCCACACUGGGACUGAGACACGGCCCAGACUCCUACGGGAGGCAGCAGUGGGGAAUUUUGGACAAUGGGCGAAAGCCUGAUCCAGCCAUGCCGCGUGUCUGAAGAAGGCCUUCGGGUUGUAAAGGACUUUUGUCAGGGAGGAAAUCCCUAGUGCUAAUAACACUGGGGGAUGACAGUACCUGAAGAAUAAGCACCGGCUAACUACGUGCCAGCCGCCGCCGUAA
rnacentral:rRNA from 1 species